CUCACACCCAGCUCCACAGAUUACCUUCACCAUGAUAAUGUAACCAGCAAUUGCAAAGUACAUCUGUUGGCACUAUAUAAAUAAAACAUGUGCCCUCUACAGUAAUAACACCAAAGUGCCAAAUACACUUCUCAAAUAAAUAAAUCAUACAGCUCCCUUGUCUCAUACUGCAUAAAGUACACAGCACACAUUUUUCUUGGAAUUUUUAUUGCAACCGGCCUUUGGGUUGGUCAGAACAGCACCUGCUGUAGAUCACUUUAAAUACAAACUGACAAGACUCAACAGAGUAAUACACACCCCAACGUGUACAGUAUUCAACCAUUAAAAAAGUAAAAAUCGCAUCAGAAAUACUUUGUAUCAAAGUCAUAAAAACCAAAGCAAGCUUUUUACAUUCAACAGUAUAAACUGCUAAUCUUAAUGGUUUAAUGCUCGAACAGAAAAAUAAACUUUGCUCUGAGAUGCGCUACAUAAAAUGAUCAUUCCUGAUUGGUCAGUUAAAGCGAGUAGUGUUGAAAUAACGGUUUUGUAACACUUUUGUUUUUUGUUUAAUCAUUAUGAUAGUUAUAAAAUGUUUUAUCAUAUCACCAUGUGGUACUUCCUACCAACAUAGUCUAGUUGAGUAUAUAUAAACUACACAAAGUAUUGAGCAUUCUCCUUGAAUGUAUUUCACAUGGACAUGUAUAUCUAGACAAGAAAAGCCACAUGGAGUAAAUGAAUAAUAUAAAAAACCUGAAAUUUAACCAUCGUAAUAUAGUUAAAUGACAACAAAGUAAGUUAUUUUACACGAUGGAGACCCUUUAAGAAAUAUGGGAGAGGUUCACUUUCAAUGCUAAUGUUUGGUUCAAUGCAAAUGUUUGCAAGGUAUAUUUCCCAUGAUCCUUAGGGCUGACUGAUCAUCAUAAAAAGUACAAGACAUACGUCUGAUAUGCCACGGUUAGCCAUCAUUACAGUAAAGUAAGGUUUCUUAUUUUAAAAAACAUCCGUUACAAUAAUAAAAAAAAAACAACCUCAGUUUGGUUUGAGGAGGAGUGGUAUCACCAACUGAUCGUCUUAGAUAUACACAACAUUAAUAUAUAAAUAAGCACAAUAUUUUUGAAAAGAUACCGAACUGGAUCUUCAAAUAAUUUUCUUGCACAAGUCAAUAUGAAAUUACCUAGUAGAAUAUUGGGGUGAUUUGCUUUUGUAGGCAUUUGAAAAAGGUCUUCUUAUUUACUCAAGCAUACUUUAUCACUAGCUACCAUAACAGAAAGCAGAAAUUCACUCAGUCACCUGAUAUUGAAUUGUAUAUUCUCAUAUAUAACAAUGCCUAGAAUGUCCUGGACUACACAAAUUAUCUCCCAACAUACCCUCAUAAAAAACAGCAUAGAAGCCAAUUAGCUUAUGGUGAAAGCCAAAAUCUGGGAUUUCUCUUAGAACCAUUAAGCAGCGUCCUCACAUCUCAAUUUUAUUUGCCUUUAACUGACUAGCAGUUUUGAGAUUUUUAGUGUUGGUUGACAGUUAAUAUUUUUUGCAAUACUUUGCACAGCUAGAAGAAAAAAAAAAUCCAUCAAAAACGAUUUAACAACUAUUUAAAGGAAUACUAUAGGGUUAGGAAUACAAAUGUGUAUUCCUGACCCUAUAGUGUUAAAAACACUAUUUAGGUUCCAAAACCAUAAAUAUGUAGAAAACUCACCUUUAUUUCAGUGCCCUGCUUCCUAUGGGAAAGCAUUGAAUUGGCUGCGAUUGCCACUUCUGAUAAUCUCAGCCAAGGAGGCUGGGCGGAGUCAAAUGCCAUGCUGGCCAAUCAGCAUCUCCUCAGAUGCAUUAAAUUAAUGCAUCUCUAUAGAAGGACGUAGAGUCGCUGACUCAGGAAGUCCCUCUAGUGGCUGGCUGACUGCAAUUGGAGGUGUUACUAGACACCAAUGCAAACACUGCCUUUUCAGUAUUUACAUGAAAAUUAUAAGGCAGUAUUUACAUGAAAAUGCCUGGAGGGACAUACAGCUUACUGUAAUAGUUCUGGGGAGUAUAGUAUUUGUUCUGGUGAUUAUAGUGUCCCUUUAAAGCCAAAUAAACCCUGUCAAGCUUGUUGGACCCUGUAACAGUAAAAUGUCAAAACUAAACAAAAACUAUUUAGAAAUACUGUUUAUGUAAAAAAUUUUGUUACAAUAAACACACAAAACUUUGUUAAAGUAAGAAACUACUUUCAGACAUGUAC
rnacentral:lncRNA from 1 species